UACGUAGGGGGCGAGCGUUGUCCGGAAUUAUUGGGCGUAAAGCGCGUGUAGGCGGCCUUGCAAGUCGGGUGUGAAAGCCCUCAGCUCAACUGAGGAAGUGCGCCCGAAACUGCUUGGCUUGAGUACCGGAGAGGAUGGUGGAAUUCCCGAAGUAGAGGUGAAAUUCGUAGAUAUCGGGAGGAACACCGGUGGCGAAGGCGACCAUCUGGACGGAUACUGACGCUGAGACGCGAAAGCGUGGGUAGCAAACAGG
rnacentral:rRNA from 1 species